AUUGAACGCUGGCGGAAUGCUUUACACAUGCAAGUCGAACGGCAGCACGGGGGCAGCCCUGGUGGCGAGUGGCGAACGGGUGAGUAAUACAUCGGAACGUGCCCGGUCGUGGGGGAUAACGUAGCGAAAGUUACGCUAAUACCGCAUACGAUCUGAGGAUGAAAGCCGGGGACCUUCGGGCCUCGCGCGAUCGGAGCGGCCGAUGUCAGAUUAGGUAGUUGGUGGGGUAAAGGCCUACCAAGCCGACGAUCUGUAGCUGGUCUGAGAGGACGACCAGCCACACUGGGACUGAGACACGGCCCAGACUCCUACGGGAGGCAGCAGUGGGGAAUUUUGGACAAAGGGCGCAAGCCUGAUCCAGCCAUUCCGCGUGCAGGACGAAGGCCUUCGGGUUGUAAACUGCUUUUGUACGGAACGAAAAGGCUCUGGCUAAUACCUGGGGCUCAUGACGGUACCGUAAGAAUAAGCACCGGCUAACUACGUG
rnacentral:rRNA from 1 species